rnacentral:rRNA from 1 species
UCUCCUGGAAAACGGGUGGUAAUACCGGAUGCUCCGCUCCAUCGCAUGGUGGGGUGGGAAAUGCUUUUGCGGCAUGGGAUGGGGUCGCGUCCUAUCAGCUUGUUGGCGGGGUGAUGGCCCACCAAGGCGUUGACGGGUAGCCGGCCUGAGAGGGUGACCGGCCACAUUGGGACUGAGAUACGGCCCAGACUCCUACGGGAGGCAGCAGUGGGGAAUAUUGCACAAUGGGCGCAAGCCUGAUGCAGCGACGCCGCGUGCGGGAUGGAGGCCUUCGGGUUGUAAACCGCUUUUGUUCAAGGGCAAGGCACGGUUUCGGCCGUGUUGAGUGGAUUGUUCGAAUAAGCACCGGCUAACUACGUGCCAGCAGCCGCGGUAAUACGUAGGGUGCGAGCGUUAUCCGGAUUUAUUGGGCGUAAAGGGCUCGUAGGCGGUUCGUCGCGUCCGGUGUGAAAGUCCAUCGCCUAACGGUGGAUCUGCGCCGGGUACGGGCGGGCUGGAGUGCGGUAGGGGAGACUGGAAUUCCCGGUGUAACGGUGGAAUGUGUAGAUAUCGGGAAAGAACACCA